GGUGGUCUUCUCUGCACUGGGAGCAGCUCUCCUGCCACAGCCCUUCAUCUCCUGAAAAUGUACGCUUGCGCCAUGUUCGUCUCCACCCCCUCCUUGAUCAGGAGAACCUCUACACUAUUGAGCCGAUCACUAUCUGCGGUGGUGGUAAGACGACCAGAGACACUGACAGAUGAGAGCCACAGCAGCUUGGCAGUAGUCCCCCGUCCCCUGACCACCUCACUUACUCCUAGCCGCAGCUUCCAAACCAGGGCCGUUUCAAGGGACAUCGACAACAGCAGCCAAGUUCAUUGGAGCUUGGCUGUCACAGUAGGGGUGGCUGGCUCUGGAGCUGGAAUUGGGCCUGUGUUUGGGAGUCUCAUCAUUGGUUAUGUCAGGAACCCUUCUCUGAAGCAGCAGCUCUUCUACGCCAUUCUGGGCUUUGCCCUCUUGGAGGCCAUGGGGCUCUUUUGCCUGAUGGUGGCCUUUCUCAUCCUCUUCGCCAUGUGAAGGAGCCAUUUCCACCUCCCAUAGUUCUUUCUCCCGUGUCUCAUCUUCCCUGUACGUUUCUUUUCCUGUGCCUCCCCAGGCAGCCUGGGGAAAGUGGUUGGCUCAGGGCUUGACAGAAGGAAGACAAAUAAAUACUGUAUUAAUAAG